UAGCUCAGGGGCAGAGCACUUGCCCGACAUGCAAGAGGCCCUGGGUUCCAUUCCCAG
rnacentral:tRNA from 1 species